GGAGCGUUGCGCAGUCAGUCAAGCAGAGUCCACUGGCGAAAGUAGUGGGGCUGCUCAGGAGAAAGAUGGCCGCUACCAGCGAGGAACCGAGUGUUAUGGAGCCUUCUCAGACGAAUUCCGGGCAAAGUCAGCCCGUUGAUCCACUAAAGAUGCUUUAUCCGAUGGUAAACGAAGAGGAAACACCGCUGCCACGUUCGUGGAGCCCCAAGGACAAGUACAAUUACAUCGGCCUCUCCCAAAACAAUCUUCGUGUUCACUACAAAGGUUAUGGAAAAACUCACAAGGAUGCCGCAAGUGUACGUACAACGCACUGCAUACCAGCAGCUUGUGGUCUCUAUUAUUUUGAGGUGAAGAUCGUUAGUAAAGGCAGAGAUGGUUACAUGGGAAUCGGCUUGUCUGCCCAUGGAGUGAACGUGAAUAGGUUGCCAGGUUGGGACAAACACUCCUACGGGUAUCACGGUGACGAUGGGCACAGUUUCUGUUCUUCCGGAACAGGACAACCUUACGGGCCCACCUUCACCACAGGAGAUGUAAUCGGAUGUGGUGUAAAUCUUGUUGACAACACUGCCUUCUAUACGAAGAAUGGACACCAUCUUGGUAUCGCCUUCACUGAUCUUCCGCCAAAUUUAUAUCCAACGGUGGGUCUUCAAACACCAGGAGAGGUAGUCGAUGCAAACUUUGGGCAAGAACCAUUUGUAUUUGACAUCGAUGAUAUGCUUAACGAACUCCGCGUCAAAACAAGAUUGCAAAUUAUAGACUACCCCACACCAGAUCACGGACAGGGUCAAUGGCAAGCAGUCCUCCACAAAAUGGUGUCAACGUAUUUGGUCCAUCAUGGUUACUGUGCCACUGCCGAAGCCUUUGCCAAUAGUACUGGUCAGGGAUUCGAAGAAGAUCUUAAUUCCAUUAAAAAUAGACAAAAAAUUCUAAAGCUGGUAUUAGCGGGCAGAAUGGGAGAAGCAAUAGAAUUAACCAGUCGGCUGUAUCCGGGUCUCCUCGAACGAGAUCCGAAUCUUCUUUUCGCCCUCAAAUGUCGACAGUUCGUUGAAAUGGUGAACGGCAGUGACUCGGAAAUCACACAGAAUUCCAAUAUCAAUCAAACUAGUGUUAUACAGUCUACGAAGGCUUACACAAAACCCUCGACAAAUGGCAAUGUUGAGGAGAUGAAUAUGAACAAUGCCAUGAAUGGUUCGACCGAACAACAGCUUGUUAAUGGACAAAUUGAAAACGAUGUAGAUAUGGAAGAGAAUGUUAUAAACGGCAUGAAAAGUAAUACCGAAAACGGCUAUCAAAAUGGUGAUUUGAAUACCAACGGGUAUAAGUGUCAGAACGGGGAAGACGUCGAUAUGGAGACCAAUAGUGUUAAUCAAAUUCAGCAACAACAGAAUAAUUGCAAUAUGGAAAAUACAUCGAAUAAGAAUAACAAGAAACAGCUUUGUGGCGGGGAUAAACAGGCAAUCGAAAAGAUGUUAGAAUUCGGAAGACAGUUAUACUCCCAAUCGAUACAUUUGCGGCAACAACACGGAAAAAACGAAAGCAAUAAAAAGAUGCUUCAAGAUGCGUUCAGUCUUUUAGCAUAUGCAAAUCCAUGGAACUCGCCGGUUGGUUGGCAACUCGAUCCCCAACAGAGGGAAACCGUCUGUGCGAGACUCAAUUCUGCCAUACUUGAGUCGAGUAACUUGCCACGACGGCCGCCGUUGGAAGUGGCCGCGUCUCACGCGAGAGAAUUGGUACGGCUAAUGUCACACGCUGGUCUGGGGGCAUGCGGCUUCGCGGUCGUAGACAAUAUCAUUCAAUAUUGACGGUGCCUACCCCUGCUGCCACGUCUGCUUCUUCUGCCGGCUCGAGUUUGGAGGUUUUAAAAUACAACAACGUCUCAUUGAAUCACUCUUUAACACCCAUACAGGAAUCGUUUUGUUUUCUCAUGCGUUAAGAAAGACGAAAUUAUAUAUAUUUUCUCUUGUUUUUCUCAUUUAGUUUCAUAAAUGGUGCUGUAAUUAGAGAUUAAGAUAAUACACAGGUAUUGUGAAUUCGAAUUCUUUGUAUCUCUGUUCCUGCGGUAAUAAUGGAAUACAUAUAAUUUUGUGAGGUUAACAGCCAUUUAUUUAUCGGCAUUAUGACUUUUUCGAACAUAUACGAGAACUUAUGGAUAUGGAGACGGAACGUGGAGCAGAUAAUAUUUUUGCAGCAACAACUUCGCGACAUCGCGUGCCUCUUCAGCUAGAGUCCGGCAGUUGGCUCUCUGACUCGAUCUCACACAGCUACACCUGACACACAAUCGUCUAACAUAAUAUACACGCUGGAGACCCACCAAAAGUAAACAAUGUUACACGGAUGCAACGUGGAUGAGAACGAAGAUGAUUGCUGAAUGAUCAUUAUUCGAAGAACGAUGAACAUUGAUUGAAGUUUUCCAGAGUCCAAACAAGAAAACUGCUUUAACGAAGUGAAGCACGAAAAAGAAGAAGAAAAAGGAGAAGAAGAAGGGAAACGAUCUUAACGAUCACGAACGGACGUGUAGAGAGGAAAUAGUUAGAAUUAACAGUCAAACUUAAGGCAAACGAAGUUCCGUGGACGUAGAUGGCGCUGGUGAUGUAAGAAACAUAAGGAAACAUAAAUACGUUAUUGAGGCUGGAAAUGAGAUCGUUUUCACUAAAAUAAAGUGAUUUUGGACAUGAAAGAGAUUGAUGAUCGAAGACGGUGAACAAGCUUGAGGCGGAGGAAGAUGUGUAAACACCUGCCAAGACGACCCUUUUCUCGUUUCCUCUUUCUAGCCCUGUAACCUACCAUCAUCUUGAGAUUGUUCCCUCGUUCCCAUAAUAGAUCGAGUCGUUUUCCGCAAUGGGACGUGCUUUCGUAUUUUCGUGUAAUUUAUCAACAACAGACGAUGAAUAACUCUCUUCAGGUGGGUUUCUAACAUCAUUCAUCUGGCCUUCCUUUCAAUUAACAUUUUCCUCUAAGUUUCUUGUUUAACCUCACGUUCGUUGCUUCUAUUCUACGCGAUAAAAUCUCUAUUCAUAUUUCACGAAAUUUGCAGUUGCUCAUUCCCUGCUGUUUCGAUCUCGUCAAUUAUAGAUGUUUGGCUAAAAGUUUAGCGACUGAAAUUUUGAUUCCAUUCAAUGUUCAGAAUUAUUGUAGCACUUUCAAACGAAUUUUAUUUUAUUCAAUUUUUUAGCGCACUGCCUCAUUGUAUAUUCUGUUGACUUUCUUUUUACGUUUGCUUCUUUUUGUGAUUAAAACCUUUGACACGAAUAUGAUUCGUCGCAUGAUAGCUGACAACCAGUCGGCAUCACCUUUUUUAUUGAGAAAAUGAACGAGAAAAGAGUCUCGUCGAUGCAACUACGAUUAAUUAAUCCCUCGUCGAUUAUUUUGAUAGCCUUUCUAAUCGUAUGGUCAACGAGUCGAUUUUUGUAUCAAUUGUUAGCUCUUAGUGAAACAAAAAAGAAGGGAAACAUAAAACUCAAAAGGAUAAUAUACAAAUGAAAAGGAAUAUUCUCCUCUUAUAAUUAUCGUAAAUUAAGGUUAGAAGUAACGUGAGAAUCGCGUUCUCUGUUCGACGAUCGUUCUAUUUCCACCUGAUUUCCACAGCAAACGAAGGAAUUAACGAUAAAGCAAUAAUCCUUGACAUUUCACUAUUUUCUUUCCUCUAUUUUUUGAUAUUCGUUUCUCUCUCUCUCCUUUUUCUUUCUUUUUUUUUCCGUAGGUCGUCUUGUAAAUUUUCAUUACUGUCUAAUGUUAGAAAGUCGAUUUAAUGGCCGUUAAGUGUCUUCGUUUCAAUUUUAUUCGCCCUAGGUUCGACUGAAUAAACGAAAGAAAAUGAACAAGAAAAAACAUAAAUCGUGUAUUAGUGAUAUGUAAUUAAGGAAUACAUUGUGUGAUUACGAGAGAAAAUUUGUAAAAAAAAAAAAAAAAAACCAAAGAAAAAAACAGACAAAGAAAAUGAUAAAGAGUGUGUCGAACUUGAGCGACGAAAACAGCAAAAAAAAAAAAAAAAAAAGAAAAAAAAAACAAAUGGGGAAUUAUACGAACCUGAAUGAUUGUAACGAUGAUGGUCGAAGACUAUUGGAGUUAUAUAGUGGAAAUUAAUAAAAAUUAUAUAAUUAAACAGAACGUUGUAAAAUA